rnacentral:tRNA from 1 species
GGGUAUAGCUCAGUGGUAGAGCAUAUGCUUAGCAUGCAUGAGGUCUUGGGUUCAAUCCCCAGUACCUCCA